AGAGAUGGCAAUGGGUGGAGUUACGAAAAGUGCAGACGCCAAUGGAACCUGGUGGAUACAGAUCAUUUAAGAUAUAAGGUCCAGAUUCUGUAGACAAAAUCUACUUUUACUGUUCUUAGCAUUUGUCAAUUUUUGCAUACUGUUUCAUGUUCUGUCAAUGGCUGCUCUAAUUAGACUUGUUACUGUUGUGGGCUAUAUUGAGAAAUAACUUCUUGGCAUCCAUGUAGAGUUUCAUGUGUGUGCUUGCAUGUGUGUGCACAUAUAUUUAACAUAAAUUAGAUUUACUGGACCAGUAUAUUCUAUCUACUGUCAUUUCAUCUGAUCUAUUUCAGCGUCCUUGUCCUAAAACCAUGUUGCAUACGUUCUCAACGUGGUCUAUGAGAAUCAGUCUAGGUUCAUCGCGGAACAUGGUUAUUGACAGGACUUGGAACCAUAUGCUUAAUAUUUGAGUUUAAGUUUUAGGACCCAAAAGAAAAGUACCGGUUUUUGUUGCACAGUUGAUUUCUUUGCUUUUACAUAUAAUAAAUAAAGUUUAAUGUCACUUCUUACAUUGUUAUUUUUGCAACUCGUCCAGUUUAUGAACGCAUUUGACAGAGCUAUGAACUUGCUUGAUGAGAAAUUUUCGUUCCUUUCAUCAACAAAGCAGAUAGUGAGCAGCACAAAUGAGGAAGACAAGGUGAGAUAUGGUGUGGUGUUCCUUUAUUUGUUUUUUGAACAAUGAUAGUACUCUUUCUUAUUGUACAAAUAUCAGCUGGUGGAUAUUAGUGGUUCCCAGUUCUCGUGCAUCAAAUUGGAUUGGCAGGAAUGAACCAUUUAAAUCACUGCACAUAUUAACAAUACUUCAUCUUUGAAGUAUGCUUAGCAGCAACUCUUGGAAUUAGUAUAGAUAUCUUUAGUAGUUAAUGUUUAUCAAGUAUGGUCCAUUGUUUGACUGACCAGUCACCUCUCUUUUAUGGACAAAUUACUGAAGCGAGAAUGUAAACAAAGAUAAUUGAUUAUUUCAACUGACGAUUAUCUUUGGAAUUACGCGUUGCAGGUUAUUGUCUUUGAGCGUGGAGAUCUGGUUUUUGUAUUCAAUUUUCAUCCAGUAAACACAUACGAUAGGUAUAAGACCUUUUGCUUUUUGAUGAUGUAGCUGCAUGCUUGAUAGAAGCAGCUUGGACAUUCAUUUUACUUGGGAUUAACAUUAUUGAGUGAAUUGUGUUAUGAGACGUGCAGGUACAAAGUGGGGUGUGACUUACCUGGGAAGUACAGAGUUGCACUAGACAGUGAUGCUUUCGAAUUUGGUGGACAUGGAAGAGUAAGGAAGCCCUUUGCAUUCCCAAUGUUGUAUUAAGCAGAAGCUGAGUAUUUUAGGGACAUUGCAAUUAAAAUAAGAGCAAACAAAAAGGAAUGAACCAUCUCUCUUUCUUAUCAGAAGUUGUUGACCACAGUUUAACUGGCAGGUAGGGCAUGAUGUAGACCACUUCACAUUUCCAGAAGGAAUACCAGGGGUUCCUGGAACAAAUUUCAACCGCCGUCCCAACUCCUUCAGAGUACUCUCACCACCGCGAACAUCCGUGGUAUGAUAAUUACUGACAAUUUUGUUAAUCCUGACUUUCUAAUUUCAAGUUUUCUUACUUCUAGUGGUUGUGAGGUGUGUGUGAUGCUUCUCGUUUGCUUUAAUCUGGCAAACAAACAUCUGUGAUUGUUCUUAACCAUUAUCUUACGAACUUGUCAAGGUUUAUUACCGAGUGGAGAACUCAACAGCAAAAGUUGUGGUUGGGCAGGAGCACAAAGAAGUUGGAUCUAUGAAACAUGAAAAUGUUGGUCCAUUAGUGAAUUUGUCAUCGGAUAACUGAAAGAGGUGUGCUCCCACUGAUGGAUUCUGUAUGUGAAUAAAUAAGCGGAUUGUUCAACGAUAUAGAAAAAUGUACUACUUGCAGAUGCAGUCGCACUAGAAUGUGUAUAUGAAAUAAACGACUGCAUCUAGAAUGUGUGUAUGAAAUAAACGACUGUAUGACAUAAACAUUAGCAUUACUACUGGGUUCGUAGUUUCAAUUACUGAAUUAUAAAUCGUAGUUUGCUAUGUCAAGCUCGAUGAUAAUCUCACUAUUAAGACAUAUGCCAAAAUGUUAUUUGGUUUCUUUCCCAGUUGAAUCAUGAUAAUGCCUAAAAUCUCACUAUUAGGCCAUUUAAUAUCUGGAUAUAACGUAGUGUAGAUUAAUCUGGAUUAGGAUACAAUGCUGAUUAAUCUGGAUUAAGAUAUAAUGCAGAUAAAUCCCAGUUGUAAUCAAAUAGUGAAUCUUUCUCUUUGUAGAAGACACGUACAUUUCUCGGUUUCUCCUUGUAGAAGACAAUCCAGACAUAAUGCAGAUUAAUCCAAUUGUAACCAAAUACUGAACCUUUGUCCUUGUAGAAGAUAAUCCAGAUUGAUCCCCUAUUGUAAUCAAAUACUGAAUCUUUCUCCUCGUAGAAGAUGAGAUGCUCCUAUAUAUACCCACCCAUCUGCAAUUAUCAUCGCUCACACACAUUGUUCUUGAUAUUCAGUAUUAUCAUUACUUAAAAAGAUGGAGAUUGAUCUUACACCAAGGUUGGCUAAGCAGGUUUAUGGAGGAGAUGGUGGUUCCUACUCUGCAUGGUCCCCAUCGGAGCUUCCCAUGCUACGUGAAGGUGACAUCGGAGCUGCCAAGCUCUCUCUGGAGAAGGACGGCUUCGCUCUCCCCAAUUACUCUGACUCUGCCAGAGUUGCUUAUGUCCUUCAAGGUAAUGGAGUAGUCGGGAUUGUUUUGCCCGAGAAGGAAGAGAAGGUUCUGCCUGUUAAGAAGGGUGAUGCUCUUGCCCUCCCCUUUGGUGUCAUCACAUGGUGGCACAACAAGGAGGAUACCGAGUUUGUGGUUCUUUUCUUGGGUGACACCAAAACCGCUCACAAAAGAGGAGAGUUCACCGAUAUGUAUCUCAAUGGUUCCAAUGGAAUCUUCACCGGCUUCUCAACUGAGUUUGUCAGCCGAGCAUGGGAUUUGGAGGAGAGUGUUGUGAAAACUCUUGUUGGCAACCAAAGCGGGAAGGGCAUUGUUAAGUUGGGAGGAGCUAAUCUGCCUGAACCAAACAAGGAACAUAGAGAUGGGAUGACAUUGAACUGCGAAGAGGCUCCUCUUGAUGUUGAUAUUGAGGGAGGUGGAAGAGUUGUUGUUUUGAACACUAAGAACCUACCUCUGGUGGGUGAGGUUGGCCUUGGCGCCGAUCUUGUGAGAUUGGAUGGUAGUGCUAUGUGCUCUCCUGGGUUUUCUUGUGACUCUGCGUUGCAGGUCACUUACAUUGUUAGGGGCAGUGGCCGUGUCCAAGCUGUAGGUGUCGAUGGGAAGAGGGUCUUGGAAACAACUGUUACGGCUGGUAACUUGUUCAUUGUUCCUCGAUUCUUUGUGGUUUCAAAGAUUGCUGACCCGGAAGGCUUGGAAUGGUUCUCCAUCAUCACCACUCCCAAUCCAAUUUUCACUCAUUUGGCUGGAAGUAUUAGUGCUUGGAAAGCGUUAUCUCCUCAGGUGCUUGAAGCUUCUUUCAAUGUGGAUUCGGAUACUGAAAAACUCUUCCGAUCAAAGAGAACUGCUGAUGCAAUCUUCUUCCCUCCUCCAAAGUGAGCUGAUGAGCUUACACAAUAAGCGUUUUUUGGUUUAUGUUUCAUGGCCUUUUAUGACACGUUUACUUGUUAUGAAUGAAAUUCAUAAUGAAUGGGAGAAAGAAGAAAUGAGAGAAAGAAUGAAAUAGUAUGUUAAGAGUUCAAUUUCAUUGAACUGUUUAUUUACCACAUGGAAUUAAAAUAAGAAUGAAAUUAAUUACGAUUGAUGUUGUUUACUUAUCAUAUAAAAUUUGAAUUAAAACUACUUCGAUUACUAAAUUACCCUUUCAAAAAAAGUCUGCCAAGUAGUUUUUUUUUUUCCCGACAAAAAGUUAAGCAUUUUGUUUAAAUCAAUAUAGGAUCAUAGAACAUCCACUUUAUAAAAAAAAAAAACUAAAUAAACUUUGCCAAACUUUGAUGGUUGUUGGCAUUGAACCACCAGCAUGUUUUAGAAUAACAAGAACUUUGAAUCCUUAUGCAGAAAUCAAAAUCAACAUUUAAGAAGUGUGCGAUCUGCUAAAACUAAAUAAACAUAGAUAACUCUAUCAAAUCUCAAUCAAAACCCCCAACGAUUUGAACCCCUCCGCAUCACUCUCAAAAGACAAAUCAACAACGAUCAUGUGAAAAUGAUAAAGUAAAGAAGAUAAUAACAAAGGAGAAGAUCAUUGGAAAAGAUAGGACAAAGAAGAGUGACUAACCAGCAGCACAGUCGCACGAUUCGUUUUUGUCAUUGGUUGGCUGUUUCUGAUAAUGGCAAAAUAUGACACGUUUAUGAUAAGAAAUAUAUUCUGGGGUUAGGUAAUUUGGGGUUAUUGAAAUUAUGUGAGGAUAAUUUGGAAACAAAAAGUUCAUUUCUGAUGAUGUCAUUCCUAAACCCACCUCCUCCCUUGGUAUUACAAAUUCAGGUUAACAAGGAAUCAAUUCCAGGUUGGGAGGUGGGACCCACAAAAAUUUCUAUUCCACUAUGAGCAAAUAAACACAGGAAUUUCUUCAUCCCGUAAUCAUUCUCCUAUAUUUAUAUUUCAUUCAUGAUAAGUAAAUGUGUCAUUAGUUCAUAAUUUUUUACGAUUUAAAGAAAAAUAUAAAGAUGUGGAAUAUUCAAUAUUCUAAAGAGCAAAACACCUGGAAGCAACACGUAGGCUUUGGAGGAAGGAUAUAAAAACAAACGGACCAACGGCUCAUAGUUAGCGAGGAUCCAUCUCACGUCACGUGGAUCAUGAUACUUUGUUUCCGCUCCAAAGCAAUCCCUUUCUCCAGAAGAAGAAGCAGUACGAGCAAAUGCAAUCAAAUCCAGCCAGCAAACAGGUCCAUCAUUUUAGUGAAUGCGGGUCCAGAAGCAGCACCAACCGUCCAGAUUGUUCAGGCCGCCUUCUUAUUCUGAGAAGAGAGAGGUGCUCAUGGAAAAGUUGAGAGUGAGUGUAAGACUCACAGUGAGGCUCAGUGAUCGUUGAACAAGAUGCUGGGCUCUUUGGGUCGUCUUAAUCUCACUUAUUCUUCUUCUUCUGGGUCUUUCUCGUCUUCCAAGGACUACCCGAGUCCGAGGCUAUCUCAUCCCAAACUACCCUCUUUUCCGCUGCUUCGACAUAGAGUACUGUCCCCUCCAACUAAUUUAAGAUGUGGGAAGGUAGGUCUGAUGCACAUUUCUAAAUCAAUAUAGUCAUACGAGCCUUUGUUUCUGUUAAAGUAGAGUUAUUUAUUGGGAUCUUUCAAUUCUUGGUUUGUUAGUUGGAGCGUGAUUGCAAAGUUAGAGCAGUUUUGACAGACGACAGCUCGAUAAUGACGGUGAAUGAAGGAGAGACGGAAGAUAUUGGUAUUUUGAGAACAGACUCAAACUUGGAGCCGUACAAAGAUCACUUCAAGUGUAGAAUAAAGAGAUAUUUGGAGCAGAAAAGUCUCUUUGAGAAAUAUGAAGGAGGUCUAGAGGAAUUCGCUCGAGGUGAUUUGUGUUUCCUUUGUUGUCUUUAAUGGUCGAGAUGAUUUGUAUAUAUGCGUGAUGACAUCAUACUGUGUUUUGCUGCUCAUGUAGGUUUUGUGAAAUUUGGAUUUAAUAGAGAAGACGAUGGAGUUGUGUACCGUGAAUGGGCCCCUGCAGCUCAGUGAGUUCAUUAGCUUUUGAACAACCAUUUGAUUUUAGCUUUAGAUGCGUAAAUUUAUGUUUUGAUUAAUUAAUGUAAUCGUAAAACUCAGGGAGGCCCAACUUGUUGGAGACUUUAAUGGAUGGGAGGGCUCCAAUCACAAGAUGGAGAAGGGCGAGUUUGGAGUAUGGAGUAUCAAGAUACAUGACUUUGAUGGAAAUCCAGCUAUUCCUCACAAUUCAAAGGUUAAGUUCCGGUUCAAGCAUGGAGAUGGAGUUUGGGUUGAUCGUAUUCCUGCUUGGAUUAAAUAUGCCACUGUGGAUCCAGCAAAGUUUGCAGCUCCAUAUGAUGGUGUGUACUGGGAUCCACCACCAUCAGAAAGGUAACCGGUUUCAUUUUUUCUCUACGAAGAUGCAAAAUGGUCUCAUGAUAUGCAGAAAUUCUAGCAACUUAAAUUGUGGUAUCUGAGUGCAACAACUAGAAACUUUUGGUUUAUCCUGUAAUUUGACUUGGGUUUUCUGAUGAGAUUUAUCCACGGGAUCAUGCAGGUAUCAGUUUAAGUAUGGUCGUCCUCCAAAACCCAAGGCUCCACGAAUAUAUGAGGCCCAUGUUGGAAUGAGUAGCUCAGAACCCCGCAUCAGUUCAUACAGAGAAUUUGCUGAUAAUGUUUUGCCUCGUAUUCGAGCAAAUAACUAUAACACAGUCCAGCUGAUGGCUGUGAUGGAGCAUUCCUAUUAUGCUUCCUUCGGUUAUCAUGUGACAAAUUUCUUUGCCGUAAGCAGUAGAUCUGGAACACCUGAGGACCUUAAAUAUCUAAUUGAUAAAGCACAUUCCCUAGGUUUGCGGGUAUUGAUGGAUGUCAUUCACAGUCAUGCAAGUAAUAAUGUCACUGAUGGCCUCAAUGGCUUUGAAGUUGGUCAAAGCACACAAGAGUCCUACUUCCAUGCAGGAGAUAGAGGCUACCAUAAGUUAUGGGAUAGCCGACUCUUCAACUAUGCAAACUGGGAAGUUCUCCGCUUCUUUUUGUCCAACUUAAGGUGGUGGCUGGAGGAGUAUCAGUUUGAUGGUUUUCGGUUCGAUGGGGUAACUUCCAUGCUGUAUCAUCACCAUGGCAUAAACGUGGCAUUUACAGGAGAUUAUAAUGAGUACUUCAGUGAGGCAACAGAUGUUGAUGCUGUUGUUUAUUUGAUGCUUGCCAACUAUCUGAUCCAUAAGAUACUGCCAUCUGCAACUGUAAUUGCCGAAGAUGUUUCUGGGAUGCCUGGACUUGGUCGGCCUGUCUCUGAAGGAGGUGUUGGUUUUGACUACAGGCUGGCAAUGGCCAUCCCUGAUAAGUGGAUUGAUUAUGUGAAAAACAAGAAAGACGAAGAGUGGUCAGUGACAGAAAUUUCAUGGAGCUUGACAAAUAGGAGAUACACCGAGAAAUGUGUCUCCUAUGCUGAGAGUCAUGAUCAGGUAUGAGGUUUUCUUUUUGUGCAAGAGUCCAGAAGAAACAAGAGAGUUCAAGUUUUGUGAAGAUGUAUAUGUUUCGUUUCCCGAAGAUCUUUAUAAUGUCAAUGAUCUUGUUUCAUUGUCUCGUUAUUGUUGCCAAAUUAGCCCUCUCUUUACAAUUUUGGUUGUUAAUGCUUGCAGUCAAUUGUGGGUGACAAAACGAUUGCAUUCUUUUUGAUGGAUAAAGAAAUGUACUCUGGUAUGUCGUGUUUGAAGGAAGCUUCUCCUACUGUUGAUCGCGGGAUUGCCCUCCACAAGGUUUGUCCUUUUACUUUUGGUACCGGGAGCAUUAAUAGCAUAUGCUGUUUGGUUAGUAGGUGUCUGUAGUCUCCUUCUCUUGCUCAUUUUUUCGUUCUGUAUAUAUAAUGGCUACAUCAGCAAGGAUCAGAUUACACCAAAAAGUUCACCUAUCACUGACAAAGUAGCUAAAAUAUUUAUAUUUUUAACAAUCUUUUGGGUCACUGACUUUCAUUUUGGGUUUGGAGAAUAUCUGAACUAUUGCCACUUCUUAUUAGCAUAUUUAUCUAUGACGUGUUCGUUGACUCAAAAUAUUAAGUUUGUGGACUUAAUUAGCUCUCAUUGUUGUUUUCGACUUUUUCAGAUGAUACAUUUUAUAACUAUGGCAUUAGGAGGCGAGGGCUAUCUUAACUUUAUGGGUAAUGAGGUAAGCACGUUUGCUAGUAUGCCGCCUGGAAAUCUCUUAAUGCGGUGCUGCAGGACCUUGAAAUUUUUCAAUAUAAAAUGCCUUUUUUUUCUUUUUUCUUUUUUGUGUGAAACUAAUUAAGACGUGAGAGAAUUGUUGGCAAGUGGCAACCCUGUAAAAAGGUUGGUUUUCUUUGUAGUUUGGACACCCUGAAUGGAUUGACUUUCCAAGAGAUGGCAAUGGGUGGAGUUAUGAAAAGUGCAGACGCCAAUGGAACCUGGUGGAUACAGAUCAUUUAAGAUAUAAGGUCUAGAUUCUGUAGACAAAAUCUACUUUUACUGUUCUUAGCAUUUGUUAAUUUUUGCAUACUGUUUCAUGUUCUGUCAAUGGCUGCUCUAAUUAGACUUGUUACUAUUGUGGGCUAUAUUGAGAAAUAAAUUCUUG
rnacentral:lncRNA from 1 species